CUCCGACUCUCUGUACGUGACACUGAAAGGUGGAACUAGGCUCCUCCCAGGUAGCUCUUCUCAGUGGCCUGGGUGUGUGUGUGUGUGUCUCUGCAGGGCCUGUGUGUGUGUAACUGUGUGUGUCUGUCUGUCUGUGUGUGUGUGUGUGUCUGCAGGGCCUGUGGUUCGCUAACCCGGGGGCAGCAACAGCAUGCCCAGCAGAACUCACAGUUCAGUACAGAGGACCCGCUCCCUGCCUGUACACACCACCCCACACACCAUGGGCAUGUUCCAGCAGUCAGAUCUCCAGGUGCCGGUGACAGAACCAGACAUCAACAACCGCCUCGAGUCUCUGUGUCUGAGUAUGACUGAACACGCCCUUGGAGGUGAGAGAGACGGAGUCGACCGGACAUCCACGAUCUGAGAGGAGGACCUGAGGGAGACCAGGCGAUGCAGAGCUGGUCCAGGCGGCCGGAACCUCGAGGUCACGACCCCCCAACCUUCACUUCUCCGUCAAGCGCCCCACAGCCAAUAGGAGAGGUCACAAAAGGGUGGGCGGUGUCCAAACAACACAAAGAACCAAUCCGUAUACGGCUAACAAAAGCUCCACUUCUUCCUGUCCAAUCAGGAGCUGAACCUAGGUAAACCCCGCCCCCUCAGCACACUCACAAUUCCCCCCGGCGUCUGGGUGAGGGUAGAGGACGGCCCCACGAUGCACCCGAACCACAGACCCAACCCCAGCCUCGUCUGAGGAGCGCCCCCUGUGGGAUCGGGGGAGAAAUGGCACUCAGGUCCCUGGCGUUAAUCCCUGGAUGUGGCUAACCUCCGCCUUGUUCCUCAGCCUUAGAGCCGCUCCCAGGCUCAGCCCAGGCCAGAGCUCCCAGGCUCAGCCCAGGCCAGAGCUCCCAGCCCGCCUCAUCACCACUCACACCAUGGAAGACACCCCCGCCCCCGCUAACAAACAAAGUGAAUGUUUCCCUCCACUGCUCUGAGUGUUAGUGAGGGAGUGCUGUGGACUUGGGAGAGCCGUUUUCUCUCUCUUGGGUGACUAAAGCAUUUAUAUACGAUAUGUAUUGUUUACGUAAGAUGCUACUAUCAAGGGUACUGAAACGUUUAUGAUUUUCAGGAAUUAAUGUACCCGUUCUUUGUUUUGUUUUGGGGGUUCUUGUGGCACACUACCAUAGUUUAGUAACGACCCACAGGCUAGUAGCCACCAUGAUAGUUUACAUGUAAUCCAAUAGUUUUGUUCUGUAUGUCGCUUGCAGCCGAGCUGUGCAGGACUGAGACAAGAAGAGGGAAGAAACGCAUGUGGUCGAAAGGAAAAGAGAGAAGCGAGAGGAGGAGUUACAGGAAAGAAAAAGGAACGUCUAGGAAUACGAAGGUCUGUGAGAAGGGAUGUUUGGAUGGAGAGGAGGAUGUCUGAACAGGGUCUGUCCCACCUCAAAUCAGAGGCAGGAACUUCGAUUUGAGGAAGACGAGCUGUCUGGAGGAGCUGGGGUAGUUGUUGGGUAGGUUGUGUAAACAAAAACCUGGGGCAGUGGGAUUCAUCACAGGUCAACAUUUAGUAUUUUGUACAUAUAAAUAUAUAUAACAAUUAUAUAGUUAUUGAAUUUAUAAUAGCUUAUGUACUUGGAAAUGCUAUGCAUUGAGAGUACAUGAUUGGCAUUUGUUUGAACCGUGACUGGGUGGAGGUUUGGCGUGUGGGGUAGAAGGGUGGAGGUUGGACUAGAUGUGUUCUAGACAGUUACAGGUUCUCAUCGUUCGAACUGGUAGCUCUGAUGCUGGCUCGAAAAGCCAGUGUGUGGUUCACGAGGAACACAUUCAUUAGCUCUUGAAUCGUUGCAGGUGUGUGUAUGGAUAUCGUUGUGUGUGUGAUCCAGGGUAGAUGCUUUAACUGCAUGUUAUUCCUUUUCAUCUUGCUAGGUAGACAGGGGUCUCAGACGUGUAGGGUUGUGAGGCAGGGUGUAACGUACCAAACUAUUUAGACGUGCGUGGGAGGAAGAGGUUGUUUUCGUCGGCUACAUCGCUGUGGAGGUUUGUCUUUUCCUUGAGGAGAUGCAAAUCCAUGACGGGCUUCAGUACUCCCAGAGGUUGCCCUCUUCUGAGAACUUACCUCUACCUGGUGGCCACACUUGGUACUACAGCCGGUCAUUACUGUAUUCAUCAGUAGAAUUUGGCAGUUGUACUUUGAAAGUUUGGUUCCACCCUGUCUUAAUAUUUAUCCUGUUUAUUGUUUCUGGAUCAAUACUUUAUAGGAUUUGUUUGUCAAAAUAAGCUGUUUAGCAAAACGUACGGCUUUGUCAUGUGCAGUCACUGCAUUGUGUGUGCGUUAAAACCCUUGACCCUUGAGCUCUGUGCAUAGACAAGGUCGCACAUUUUGUGCCUGGAAAUAUUUACUAUUGUUAGCCUGUUUGGAAUUGAUUUUGAGCGAUUCAAAAUGUGAGGCAUAUCCAUAGUUAUCGUUGGAAUUUCAGUAAUUAAUUUCUUUCUUGCCAUUCUUAGAAUAUUUUUUUCUGCACUUGUUAAAGGGCCUUUGACUCUAACAACAAGGACAGCACAUGCAGCAGUCAUAAACCUUAAAUGUGCAAUACCUGACUUCCAGGAGAGUGGAGAUGGUGAGGGUGGAGAUGGUGAGGGUGGAGAUGGUGAGGGUGGAGAUGGUGAGGGUGGAGAUGGUGAGGGUGGAGGAGAUGCGGGUGAGAAGGUCAUAAAAGGGACACUAGGUGGACCUUCAUUUAGUGGAACCAAAUCAAUGCCAAAUACACCGUGUUCCACCUCUGCAGAAACAACCACUUUCCUUCUUUCAGCGGAGACUAAGGGGGUGGUUUGACUCGAUGGUGUGGUCUGUUAAAACUGCUCACCUGUCACCGAUGGCAGAUGAACUGGCCAAAUCGAUGACUGGCUCCUUUAGAAUCCAGAACCUUCCUUCUCUCUUGACACAGUACACAUACACACACUCUUAACACAACCCCCCCCCCCCCACACACACACACACACACACUGCCUGCUAGUGCCUGUGUGUUUUGAAUGCUGUAUAACCAAAGCAUUUUUUGUGGAGACGAGUGUCACAGUUCUGUGUUUGUGUGCUGCUGCAGUAGUGAGGAUUUUCUCCCUCCCUGCAUCGCUGCACUUGCAUGUCCUCGUACAAGCAGGUGACAUGCAGGGACGUCACGAGGGGAAGGGAGAUUUGCCUAGAGCGUAUUCUGGCUUAGGGCAAAGGCUACAGUACACUGUGACGUCACUCACAGUCCUAAUACAAAGCAGCCAAUCUGCCCUUCUAGGUAGUCAUAAGAGCCACUUGUCACAGCCAUAUGAAUCAAUACUAUUAGUGGAUUCAAAUGAUUAUUUAUUCUUUUUUUCUAUAACUGUUGCAGAGGUGUUGUUUUAUUCAUAUAGGUGUAUUAUUUAAAGAACCAUCUGUAUUAACGUUGCUAUGGCUGGUGACCAUAAGUACAUCUCAAAUAUUAACAUAGUUAUUUUGUUUUACUCUGAUCUAUAAUCUUCUAUUUGAUGGGGAGUAAGGAGCUGUGUGUCUUUUGGGGAAGGACGUUGUGUUGUGUUUCUACUUGCCUCGCUAACGUGCAUGGCUGAGAGCGGCCAGGAGGGGGAGCAGUCUGUCUUUCCUGGAAUUCAUGCAAAGUUGUCGAAACGCCUGGUUACGCCUCUGAUCACAAAGUUCAGGCCGGAUGCACGGGGGAGGACAAGCCUUGGCAACCCUGCGAGGCAUCGAAAGGACAUGGAGGAUGUUGUUUUUUAUGUGUGUUGGUGGAAAACACCGAAGCAGUGUGUUCAGAAUGGGCUUGACGCAAAGCCAAGGAACUGACGUAGAAGGCAGUUUAGAAUCCUGUGCAUGAUGCUACACAGCAUCGUCACGGCGAUGUAGACCAGCCAGGAAAUGAGACCACCACAUACACUAACUGCCUAGGCGAUAUGAACCAUGUGAUUUAUUUUUUUAUAAUUACUCAGUGGGCAUGCACUUGUUGGUCAGGAGUAUGGCUAUGCACACUGCAGUUUGAACAGUUAGAUGACACUCUGAUAUUCAACAAAUGAAACAUAAUUUAAUUAAGUGUCAGUGUUUUUUUUGUUGUUUUUUUUCAUACUCUGCACAUUAGUCAAUUAUACACAUUAUUUUUGGGCGAAAUUAUUAUUAUAUUAAAAAAUAAUAAGUUGGCAAAUUUAAAAAGUAUCCUUACUGUAACAAAGUUCUACCGCUUAACUGUGCUCUUAAUUUGUCUUUUGUUUUACUUUAUCAGAGCCGAUGACCUGUAUUGACUGCAGGCUUACAUAUAUAUUUGAAAAAGAUUAUUGUAUGUUUAAGAAUAAAAACAAAAAGAAAACAAAAAAAGGAAGGGAAAAAAAAAAAAAAGGAAAAAAAAAAGGUAAUUUAUAUUUUAGAAAUGCAU